UCUCAGAAAUCUUUCCUGCCUUAUUUAUUAAUGUGAUUAUUUGUUUCUUAGUCAAUGCCACCUUCUCCUAUAACUUUCUACCUAGAGGGGGAAAAGCCCCAGUAUUUAGCACUCUGAGUUUUAUAAAGCAUCUUCACACUUCUCCUGUCUCGCAUCACUACCCUUUGAUAGCAUUGGGGAGGGACUUUUGCUAUUUCCAUGUUACAAAUGGGUCACCCCGGCACCCGGAACUCGAGUAACUAGCCCAUGCCUGCGAAGCUCCCACCUGGAGUGGGGAACUAGAGCCAGAUCACCAGACCCAAAACUGAGGCCUUGAGGAGGAGACUACGAACGUGGCGGUGGAGAUGUUUCUCUCUUCACAGCGGCUGAGUUGUCUCUACUUUAUGGGCUGCGAAUACUUUCUGGCUUGUCCUCUAGGAAUCUCUUGGCAUCUUUUUACCAAGUUUAAUAUCACAGAGCUAUAAGGCUUAGAAGACCUCAGAGGCCAUUAUAGCCAACCCCCAGACUCCUAUUCUGCAGCCAAAUUAGUGAUAACACGUUAUAUAAUUCCAUUAAAAAAACCCAACCAAGGAACCAUUUAGUACCUUCCUAAAAGAUGAGUUUUUCUUGAACAUGGUGCUAACUAACCAAUUUGACUGAAACCACCCGAUAUUUUGACAUGGUAAAAAACAUAUUGUGUAAUAGAAAUACAAUGAGAGUCACAUAUGUGAUUUAAAAUUUUAUUGAGCCAUAUUUAAAAAGUAAAAAGACACACACUCUUCUCGUGCGACACAGAACCGAGACCCCCAUACAGAACAUUUAACUGUUUUCCCUUAAUACCCAGGAAACAUGCACUAACCUGGUAAACACCUGCUUCGUGGAGAGUAGUCUUUCAGGAUUCAUACCCUCAGGACAUUGUUGGGGACCUAUUGGACUGAACAAAGGGGGGCAACACGGGAAUAAAAGACAAGAGGAGACAAAAGAGUAUAUUUGGAAGAAGGGGUUGGGGCACCUUGCCUUUAGUGGACAAGGGCCCUGAGCUUUACACAGCCCUCCGUAUUUAUUAGGCAAAAAGAGAUAGCGAGAAAGCUGGGGGAGGGGGUGAUUGUCAGUCUGCCGUUUGGUUCACAGUAGGCUUGCAUUUUUUGGACAAUAGGCACUAGAUUUUUUAGGCAGAUAACUUCAAGGAGCCCGGAGCUAGGGAGUGAUGUCUGUUAGCAAACCUUUUGGUGGCAGGGCAGUGUGAGUUUGCCCACAUCCUGCAUUCAUGAGAAACAGUUUGCUGUUUGUAGCCUCCAGCGGAAUGCUGAGUUGGUCACGUCCCCCACGGGCCUUCGGCUCCCUGCAGGACACCACCUCCUAGACAUUUGCCCGCAUUUGCUGACCUACACUCAGACACUCUGGCUGGUCUAGAAUCUCAGGGCCUUUACUCCGGCUCCUGCCAGAGGCCUGAGAAAUCCACACCUCGCUGAUAGCUCCACAGCUCACCAGCGUCCGUGGUGAGCCAGUUUCCGUGGCGGCAGCAUCCUCCGCCUUGGGAGAGGCCGUGGGGACCGUACUGAAGAAACUGCCACUCCGAGGCAUUGCUCCGUGCUGGGCGCUGCCAUUGAGAAGUGCACCUAAGCGGCCACCCGUGAGCGACGACCACGCAUGAACAGGAAUGUUCUAGAGCAGAAUGCACCUAUGAAGGCUGGGGCCUGCGCGAGAACCUGCACCGGAAGCCACCCUGACACGCUCCUCCCCUUGGGGCGACGUCCACCUCCUCGCUGUAGCGGGGGGAAGACGCCGCGGGUGCUGUGGACGGGGAGGGCCCGCGCGUGCGCGGCGGCCAGUGAGCCGUGAUGCUCAGUCCCACCCGCCUUUCUCACGCCCCUUCCCUUUCCCGUCCUCCCUCCUCUCCCCUCCCCUGCGUGGUAACAACGAUUGUGACACUUGGUUUUCUUACCUCAAGAGGUGCACGUGAUUUAUUUUUAAAAUUCCCUCAAAAGAACGUUUUCUUGAAUUGAAACUAAUGAUCAAACAGAAGCUAGGCCGGAGGCGAUGGCACCACCCUCUCUGCUUCCGUCAGUUCCACUCCCCUCCCCGCCACACCCCACCUUCCUGCUCGGUGUGGGCUGGGGCGGGCAGCAGCGAGGACGGCGUGGAAACGCAACCGCCCGGAGGAAAGGCGGGAAACAGCGGGAAGGGAGGUUUGCCGCCCCCUCUUCCUGUGGUGACCUCCACCUCUUACAAAAAUCACCACCGACGUGUGGGAACCGUGCUCGCUGACUGAAAGCAAAGCUCAGCUGACCUGUGAGGAGGCCCCGGGGAGCUGCCGCGGUGGUCGCCGCUGAGUCCAUCCGUGCCGCUGGGCCGAGGCAGCUGGAGGCCACGGUUCAUGACUCUCUCGGGAAAGGAUUUUAUCUCCAUCACUUGCAACUUCUUGGAGCUGAAGUCUGCACAGCACUGUGGAGAUUGUCAGAUCUGCGUGGACAAGGCAGGGCAGGCCUGGUGGUUUGGAGAAGUAGGGCUAUGCCGGAGUGAGGUGGCACGGGGUGCAGGCGGCUUCUUUGAGGGGGACCCGGGGAAGCAGGAACAGGAAAGCCAGCUAAACCGCAACCUCAGUCCCCGUUGAAGACAGCAGGGCCUGAGGCAGCUGCACCCAGACGUCUCCGGAGUUCAUGUUGGUCCAAAGGAGGGAGGCUGGGUGGAGACUCACCUGCUGCAGUCCCCAUGGGCUGAGUGUUGUGGAGCUGUCAGCUCCCUUUGUUCGGGGGUCUGUCGAAGCCUGGGCAGCGAGCUUCCUCGGCCUGGGAGGAGCCCACGAGUGGACACGGGAGGAGGGCGCUGCCCCUCAUUCGCUCCGGAUGCUUGUCUCAUUAGCCGUCAAUUCACAGAGAGCAGUUUCCAGUAGAACAAUUCCAGAAAAAACCAGAGCCACCACCAGGGCCUGUGUGUUUCAUUCCUGACCUGGGGAAGGUAGCAGAAGCUUUCAGCAGCAACUAUUCAAAUAACCACCUGUUUAACACAUGGACCCGUGAAUGGCGGCCCUGGGUGCCUUGUCCCAUUGUUUUUCUUCUUUCCUCUCCUCCAUUUCCUUCCUCUCUUCCCCCUCAAAAACACAGUGUGCAUAAACAUUUGCAUACCCCAGCCACACCACCAACAGCUUCUCCAUGGGCUGGGGUCUCUGCCUUGUCGAAAUGAUAUUAAUAAAUGAUAAAGCCAGGGUCAUCUCUAUCUCUCAUCUAUCUCUAUCUCUAUCUAUUAAUUAUCUAUCUAUUAUCUAUCUCUAUUAACCUGUUAUCUAUCUACCUACUAACUACCUACCUAUCCACAUCUACUGUCUAUCUAUACCUAAGUUCAUUAUCAUCAUUAUCUACCCUCUAUCUGUCUCUAUUAACCUAUUAUCUAUUUAUCCAUCUCUCAUCCGUCCAUCCAUCAUCUUGCUGACGUUAGCUCUGGGACUCCUCAAGCCUAUGUGUGAUGAUGAGCGAUCAUCCAGCUGUUUGACGCUAUGAUUCUAGUGAAUUUGCAUUGGGCAACAAAUGUGUGGAUGAGCACACGAAUAAACACUAUUUAUUUGCUAAGUGUUGUAGGGAGCCUGCCUUAAAGAACCUUAUCCAUGUGAAACCAUGACGUCCCACCCUCCCCUUGGCAGGGCUGUUAUAUGACAGCUCUCUGCAAAGGCCACCUCCCAGUGCGGUGGGAACCAGGGCCAGUCCCACACAUGUGCACAUUCUCCAGGUGGCGUGCGAGGCUGCUACGCUUGCAGGAGGGCUCUGAGGUGGCCGUGUGCCCGGACCUCUGCAGAGGCUACGGUGACAGAGGACUCAGCAGAGUUACCUUCCACUGUGCACAGGAAGGAAUGUGCCCUGAGUGCUGAGCUAAAGAGGAAUACAGGGAGGUAUUCACCUGUGCCGGGCCCCUGUGCCACUACCAUCUAUUCAUUAACAGAUGUUUAUUGAGCAGCGACUAUAAUUCAGGCGUUGUGUGCGUGAUGGUAGCAAAACAACAGGGGAAGAAAGUCCAUCGCCUCUCCCUUCCUGGAGCUUCCAUAUUGGUGAAGGAGAUGGAAAGUAAAAUGAAAAGCAAAUAUAAAAUUACAUAUUUUACUAUGUGCAAUGAGAAAAUAUAAAGCGUGUGGUGACAGAGAAUGGCAGGGAAUGGAUACUUAGUGUCAUCAAGCAAGGAUUUCAGAAGAAUGCAUCAACUUGGGGCUUGUGAGAAUUAAAGACAGUUUUUGAAGCACUGAAGUGAAUGAAUUAAUUUGGGCAUAGGGGACUGGGACAGCUAGAGGGGUCUGAGAAUCACACUCUGUGAUGUGAGCAGGAGAAAAUCCACCAGAAGCAUGAUGAUGACUCCCAGGAUCUAGUUGGAUCUUCUGGAAUUUGAACAGAAACCUCAACAAUUUUCUUUUGAAACUCUAAGAUGCUCCAUGUGAGGAGGACUUUGGGCAGGUUCUUAUCAAACAUUAUUUCAAGUACCAUCAUAAAAUAAAGGAAACUGUGGCCUCCGUGGAGGCAAUAAAGCGUCAA